ensembl:lncRNA
CAGCUCAACAGAGAGGCGGACACUGGGCUGUCGCAGAACCAAGGCAUUUGCCGAGUGUGUCCCUCCAGCACUGUUUCAGUACCUGGCAAAUUUUUGCCAAAGACACUGGGAGCUUUACAAGACUAGAGACGUCUCCCCAUUCCAGAAAACACCAGCUCUGCCCCUGCUCCAAGCCUGGUGUAUGUCUCCUCAACUUGAGCGAUCCAGGAUUCCUAAGGCAUGUGUACAACCCAAAGCCAAAUCUCAUGGCCUUGACCAACUGACCACUACAAAAAGUGAGGCAGUGUUACAUCCUUCUAAUACCACCUGCAUCUCAACUGUGCUAUUGAAUCACAACUCUUUUACUUUACGUUUUGAGACAUAAAGAGGAACAAAAAGUUUACUUUAUUUAGGAGGCCGGCAGCCUGGAGAUAUGUGUCCAAAAACCAACUCUGAAGAUUCUGCUGGACCAUGAAAGCGUUUAAAGGAAGACCAAACUAACACCAGUUUCUGAUGUAUCUUAGUGAGCCAUUAGCCAUACAGCUUCUUGUCUAUUAUAUCCACUGUUUCUACCUUGUGUGUCAAAUAUUCUAUUUGCUAGAAGAAGGUUUAAACAGAGGCAGUAAUAAUUGUGAAGUUUGUAUGAAGACAAAAAUUAUUGUUGGGCAC